GGUGGUUCAGUGGUAGAGCACUUGCCUUGCAUGCAUGAGACCCUGGGUUCGAUUCCUCAGCACCA
rfam:Dipodomys ordii contig_3256, whole genome shotgun sequence.